GACAAGGCUGCGUUUUCCAUCAACCUUGCUGCCCGACCUGAGAUGACUGUUAGGGCUUUUCUGUAUUUUAAAAGCAACUGGAAGAUCAGCCCGACCUCUGGUGCUCAACUCAAGAAACCUGAGUUGACUGACCAAUUGAUUGCAGAGCCGCAGAAGGAAAAUGGUGACAAGAGGGGAAGUGGUUGACACGGCAGAAUUGCAGUCAAGGGGAGAUCUUGUCAAGAUGGCGGUGUGAGCAGACGUUGAACUUGCCUCCUGCCAUGAACACAACCAAAUUACAACAAUUUUUGAAAAAAUUACCACGGAUUGAAAACUGAAAACUGGAUAAAAAGAACCCUCACCACAAGGGACAGUCCUAAUGAAGUCAGAAGAGGCAGCAAUUCCUGCUGGAGAGGAAAAAAGCCACCUUUGGGGCCAGUGGAGCUUCUCAGCUGGCCAGGCGGGAGCCGCCCUAAGCUUGAAGAUCUUUCAGAAUUAGGUGGAAAGUGAGAACAAUGAAGUAAGAUGAUGGACCCCUGAGAAGAUUUCUUUUUUAAACAAAGGAGCUUUGGAAAACCUAAGGUGGAGGUAGAUAAGGAAAGUUUGGGGGAUGUGUGCAUGCAUUGCUGUGUGAAUAAAGCUAAGUUGCC
rnacentral:lncRNA from 1 species